AUUGAACGCUGGCGGCAUGCCUUACACAUGCAAGUCGAACGGUAACAGGUCUUCGGAUGCUGACGAGUGGCGCACGGGUGAGUAAUACAUCGGAACGUGCCCGAUCGUGGGGGAUAACGAGGCGAAAGCUUUGCUAAUACCGCAUACGAUCUACGGAUGAAAGCGGGGGAUCUUCGGACCUCGCGCGGCCGGAGCGGCCGAUGGCAGAUUAGGUAGUUGGUGGGAUAAAAGCUUACCAAGCCGACGAUCUGUAGCUGGUCUGAGAGGAUGAUCAGCCACACUGGGACUGAGACACGGCCCAGACUCCUACGGGAGGCAGCAGUGGGGAAUUUUGGACAAUGGGCGAAAGCCUGAUCCAGCCAUGCCGCGUGCAGGAUGAAGGCCUUCGGGUUGUAAACUGCUUUUGUACGGAACGAAAAGCCUCUUUCUAAUAAAGAGGGGUCAUGACGGUACCGUAAGAAUAAGCACCGGCUAACUACGUG
rnacentral:rRNA from 1 species